rnacentral:rRNA from 1 species
UACGUAGGGUGCGAGCGUUAAUCGGAAUUACUGGGCGUAAAGCGUGCGCAGGCGGUUCGUUGUGUCGGCGGUGAAAGCCCCGGGCUCAACCUGGGAAUGGCCGUUGAAACUGGCGAACUGGAGUGUGGCAGAGGGGGGUGGAAUUCCGCGUGUAGCAGUGAAAUGCGUAGAGAUGUGGAGGAACACCGAUGGCGAAGGCAGCCUCCUGGGCCAGCACUGACGCUCAUGCACGAAAGCGUGGGAGCAAACAGG